rnacentral:tRNA from 1 species
GGCUUUGAAGUAUAUAUUACGUUGAAUUGCAAAUUCAAAAAAGUAGCUUGAUAGCUACCGGAGCUU